UUAAAACUAUGACAAUUUUAACAGCUCAGCUAGUCUCUUAUCUAUCGAUAUUCUGCUUAGGGGCAAUAUCUACUAUAUAAUAUAGUAUAAGCCUCAAAUGAUCAGAAAGUAUAUGUUAUGAUAUUAUAUUAAAAGGCCAAUAUGCACUGUACUGUCACCCUUGUCCUUUUUGUCAUGUUUUAUUAUUUUCAUGUCAUACAAGAUGCAAGAUUGAAGAACUGUAUAUAUAUGUCAUUAACAUAUAUUAGGCUCUAUGCAGUUGCUUUUCUCUGAUGUCGGUG
rnacentral:misc_RNA from 1 species